GCCUGGGAUAGCUCGGUUGGUAGAGCACAAGACUCUUAAUCUCAAGGCUGUGAGUUUGAGCCCCAUAUUGGGCA